rnacentral:rRNA from 1 species
CCCUUAGAUGUUCUGGGCCGCACGCGCGCUACAAUGAUGAAUUCAACGAGUUUAUAACCUUGGUUGAAAAGCCUGGGUAAUCUUUUGAACUUUCGUCGUGAUGGGGCUAGACCCUUGCAAUUAUUGGUCUCCAACGAGGAAUUCCUAGUAAACGCAAGUCAUCAGCUUGUAUUGAUUACGUCCCUGCCCUUUGUACACACCGCCCGUCGCACCUACCGAUUGAAUGGUCCGGUGAAAUCUUCGGAUUGAGACUUUGUUUUCUUCACGGAAAACGCUGUUUUAAAAAGUUGAUUAAACCUUACCAUUUAGAGGAAGGUGAAGUCGUAACA